AUGGGCUGAGUGAGGGAGAGGGCAGCUGGGCUCCAGAGGGACGAGACAGAGGCAGAGCAAGGAGCCCUAGGGAAAGAAGUGGACAGAUGGCCUUAUCAGUGAUUAUCAUCACUUGUGCGGUCCUAUCAAUCUACCUAUGCAUUUCUACACCACCUCUCACCAGAGUGCUUAGCUCCUCUCCUCCCUAAGCAAUGAGGUUAAUAUUGAAGUGGCUGUUUCUAGCUGCUUCAGAUCGCUGCCGUCUUGACUGCCCUGCAGUGAUGGACUUUAACUCUGCAAUUGUGAGCUAAAUAAACCCUUUGCCCCUUA